rnacentral:rRNA from 1 species
GACGAACGCUGGCGGCGUGCUUAACACAUGCAAGUCGAACGGAAAGGCCUCUUUCGGGUGGUACUCUAGUGGCGAACGGGUGUGUAACACGUUAGUAACCUGCCCUUGUCUUUUUGUUAACUUCAUGAAACUGGUGCUAAUACCUGUUAUGAGCUCCUUCUCCAUGUUGUGGGUUUUAAAGUUUCGGCGGUUGUGGAUGGACUCGCGGCUUAUCAUCUUGUUUGUGGGGUAGUGGCUUAACAAGGCUUUGACGGGUAGCCGGGCUGAGAGGGUGAGCGUCAAAAUUGGGACUGAGAUACGGCCAAGAAUCCUACGGGAGGGAGAAGUGGGGAAUAUUGCACAAUGGGUGGAAGCCUGAUGCAGAAAAGCCGUGUGCGGGAUGACGGCCUUGGGGUUGUAAAACGCUUUCGCUAAUGAAGAAGCUUUGUGUGACGGUAGUGGGUAAAGAAGCACCGGCUAACUACGUG